AUUGAACGCUGGCGGCAUGCUUUACACAUGCAAGUCGAACGGUAACAGGCCGCAAGGUGCUGACGAGUGGCGAACGGGUGAGUAAUGCAUCGGAUCGUGCCCAGUCGUGGGGGAUAACUACUCGAAAGAGUAGCUAAUACCGCAUACGAUCUAUGGAUGAAAGCGGGGGACCGUAAGGCCUCGCGCGAUUGGAGCGGCCGAUGUCAGAUUAGGUAGUUGGUGGGGUAAAGGCUCACCAAGCCAACGAUCUGUAGCUGGUCUGAGAGGACGACCAGCCACACUGGGACUGAGACACGGCCCAGACUCCUACGGGAGGCAGCAGUGGGGAAUUUUGGACAAUGGGCGCAAGCCUGAUCCAGCAAUGCCGCGUGCAGGAAGAAGGCCUUCGGGUUGUAAACUGCUUUUGUACGGAACGAAACGGCUCUGGUUAAUACCCGGGGCUAAUGACGGUACCGUAAGAAUAAGCACCGGCUAACUACGUG
rnacentral:rRNA from 1 species